AGACCUUACAGUGAAAUGCUGAAUAUACAACAGGUGUAGGUAGACCUUACAGUGAAAUGCUGAAUACAACAGGCAUAGAUAGACCUUACAGUGAAAUGCUGAAUGCAACAGGCAUAGAUAGACCUUACAGUGAAAUGCUGAAUGCAACAGGCAUAGAUAGACCUUACAGUGAAAUGCUGAAUACAACAGGUGUAGGUAGACCUUACAGUGAAAUGCUGAAUACAACAGGUGUAGGUAGACCUUACAGUGAAAUGCUGAAUACAACAGGUGUAGGUAGACCUUACAGUGAAAUGCUUACUUACAGGCUCUAACCAAUAGUGCAAAAAAGGUAUUAGGUGAACAAUAGGUAAGUAAAGAAAUAAAAACAACAGUAAACAGACAGGCUAUAUACAGUGGCGAGGCUAUAAAAGUAGUGAGGCUAUAAAAGUAGUGAGGCUAUAAAAGUAGUGAGGCUAUAAAAGUAGUGAGGCUAUAAAAGUAGUGAGGCUAUAUAAGUA